AGGGUUUAUAUUGCUCCGAAAGGGGAAAGUAGCAAAAGCACGCCACCGGCGGCUAGGGUUUCUACCCAGUUACAAUAAUCAUGCCCAAAACUGAGAGCGAGGGGUGGCUAUAUAGCCAUUACAGAGGGAAAAGCAGAACAGAAAGUGGAGACAGAGCACAUGGCUUGUCGGGCGAUGAACAGCGACACUCAGGGCGAUGAUAGCCGUUGGAUGGAGCAUCUGCGACUCUGAUGACAAACCAGUGGCGAACCGUUAUCUUCAUUGGAGAGCCACUGGAUGGCGAAUCGACGGCUGAGCUUGGUCCGACACGCAGAAACAGGGGAGUUCUUCAGAGAUGCAAUGACAGGCCUGACAGCACAUACGGUGGUUUAGUAUUUCUUAAUCAAUUGAGAAAUAGCAAUCCGGCCUGGAAGGAAAAAAUGAUGGGGAAGUCUGAGAAGUUCCUCCAGUUUGCAGUAUCACCACAAAGCAAUCACCCCAUACGAAUCGAACGCAUGCAUGACCUCCCCUGAGAGAGCAAGAAUUAAUAAUCCCGGGAACAGCGACUCCAAUUCCAAAUCAACCAACCAGAUCGAGUAAAACGCCUAGACAGUAAAUCAACCAGAUAGUAAAACGCCGAGACAGUAAAUCAACCAGAUCGAGUAAAACGCCGAGACAGUAAAUUGGGCAUGGUUGAUGGUCUGAUGCUUACCUCGAUCCUCUGUCUCCACAGGGUGCGUGCAGUGCAAUGGAUGGCGGCGUCCCAGAUGGGCCUCGGGAAGGAGAAGCCGUGGACGAGGUGGCGGAGCGGAGGUGCCGUGGACGAGGGCAGCGGCGGCGGCGGCGGUGAGUUUGGCUCGAGGGCGUUGCAAGGGAGCACGGGCGAGGAUAAGAGGUGGGCAGGGCACACAUGCAAUCAAUCAUUAUGGUUGGCCGAUUAUUGUUGCAUAAGUCGUCAGUGUUCACAUUGAG
rnacentral:lncRNA from 1 species